rnacentral:piRNA from 1 species
UCGGAUCCUGAGCCUCCGAGCCGGAGCUGC